UACGUAGGGUGCUAACGUUGUUCGGAAUCACUGGGCAUAAAGAGCGCGUAGGCGGUCUGAUAAGUCAGGUGUGAAAUCCCCCGGCUCAACCGGGGAACUGCACCUUAUACUGUCGGGCUUGAGUGCAGGAGGGGAGAGCGGAAUUCCUGGUGGAGCGGUGAAAUGCGUAGAUAUCAGGAGGAACGCCGGUGGCGAAAGCGACUCUCUGGUCUGUUACUGACGCUGAGGCGCGAAAGCUAGGGGAGCAAACGGG
rnacentral:rRNA from 1 species